rnacentral:rRNA from 1 species
GACGAACGCUGGCGGCGUGCUUAACACAUGCAAGUCGAACGGAAAGGCCCUGCUUUUGUGGGGUGCUCGAGUGGCGAACGGGUGAGUAACACGUGAGUAACCUGCCCUUGACUUUGGGAUAACUUCAGGAAACUGGGGCUAAUACCGGAUAGGAGCUCCUGCUGCAUGGUGGGGGUUGGAAAGUUUCGGCGGUUGGGGAUGGACUCGCGGCUUAUCAGCUUGUUGGUGGGGUAGUGGCUUACCAAGGCUUUGACGGGUAGCCGGCCUGAGAGGGUGACCGGCCACAAUGGGACUGAGAUACGGACCAGACUCCUACGGGAGGCAGCAGUGGGGAAUAUUGCACAAUGGGAGGAAGCCUGAUGCAGCAACGCCGCGUGCGGGAUGACGGCCUUCGGGUUGUAAACCGCUUUCGCCUGUGACGAAGCGUGAGUGACGGUAAUGGGUAAAGAAGCACCGGCUAACUACGUG